AUACUGCUGGCCUUGGGACCGGGAGAGGCGGAGGGUACCCCUGGGGUAGGGGUGAAAUCCUAUAAUCCCAGGGGGACCGCCAGUGGCGAAGGCGCUCCGCUGGAACGGGUCCGACGGUGAGGGACGAAGGCCAGGGGAGCGAAACCGGAUUAGAUACCCGGGUAGUCCUGGCUGUAAAGGAUGCGGGCUAGGUGUCGGGCGAGCUUCGAGCUCGCCCGGUGCCGAAGGGAAGCCGUUAAGCCCGCCGCCUGGGGAGUACGGCCGCAAGGCUGAAACUUAAAGGAAUUGGCGGGGGAGCACUACAAGGGGUGGAGCGUGCGGUUUAAUUGGAUUCAACGCCGGGAACCUCACCGGGGGCGACGGCAGGAUGAAGGCCAGGCUGAAGGUCUUGCCGGACACGCCGAGAGGAGGUGCAUGGCCGCCGUCAGCUCGUACCGUGAGGCGUCCACUUAAGUGUGGUAACGAGCGAGACCCGCGCCCCCAGUUGCCAGUCCUCCCCGCUGGGGAGGAGGCACUCUGGGGGGACCGCCGGCGAUAAGCCGGAGGAAGGAGCGGGCGACGGUAGGUCAGUAUGCCCCGAAACCCCCGGGCUACACGCGCGCUACAAUGGGCGGGACAAUGGGAUCCGACCCCGAAAGGGGAAGGGAAUCCCCUAAACCCGCCCCCAGUUCGGAUCGCGGGCUGCAACUCGCCCGCGUGAAGCUGGAAUCCCUAGUACCCGCGUUCAU
rnacentral:rRNA from 1 species